rnacentral:lncRNA from 1 species
UCGAUUUUCUCUAAUGAAUUUUAGCCGCGUCGCGUUGCGAACGCUGGCUCAAAGAGAGCUCCGCGUUGUUCUCCUUCCAGUUCUUCUUCUUCUUCUUCUUCUUCUUCUUCUUCUUCUUCUUCUUCCUCUUCCUCGUAUUCUUCUUCUUCUUCUUCAUGUGAAGACAAAACCUUUCGGACGCGGCUCUUGGACACAUUUGUCCUUGUUUAUCAAUACGUCCCCAUUUUGAGGGAUUGUACUUUGGAGAUCGUUACCGACUUGACAGGUUUGACCACAGAGACAAAACCUCGACAAUGGAAAGCUCCCAGCUGAUGAUCCAGAUUUCCAUUGAAUCAAGCAAUCAGCAAGCUGAAUCAAUUCUUCAUACCUCUCUGGAAGCAAUUUCCUAUGUUGGUCUUAAUUCCAAACCGAUCGUCAUGAAACUUUACCAAGUUGUAGAGGUAGUGUCAACUGAGAAGCCUAUUGAUUUUGAGGUCAAAGAGGGAAGGCUUGUGGAACAGCAAGAACACAGAAUGGAUCAGGACACAACAGAACAAAAGGAACAGCAGAAAGAGAAGGAAAACACCGACAGCGGAGUUGAAAGACAUGAGGUGAACAAGAUGGAUAAAGAAACAAACUCUCAGGAAGGAUAAACAACUUGAAAUUUAGAAAGAGGUGGGGGGGGUAAAUGUAAAGAGGUAAAUGAGGGUAGUAAAUAUCAUGUUUUUGGAUGAAGGAUGGUCUGAGAUGUUGGUGAACUGCUGUUUUGAAGACCUGAAGGGAAGAAAGAGAUUGAAGAAAAUGUGGAAGUUGGUUCCACAGGUGGGAAAAAUAGAGAAACGGAUGAGUGAUUUUUUUUUGAUUUUUUUUUUGAUUUUUUUUUUGUGAAACUCCUAAAGUCCAGAUUCACUACUCGCCUCCAAAGUACUUCAAUAUCAAAUUACUUUUGAAGAUUUUACAGAUUAACAACUGCUUACAUGAGAUACACAUUAUGUCAUCGGGGGGGGGGCUCCAAGUACUUCAAUAUCAAAUUACUUUUGAAGAUUUUACAGAUUAACAACUGCUUACAUGAGAUACACAUUAUGUCAUCAAUGAAUCGGUUGUUAUCACAGUCCACACCAUGGCAACAAGUUUCAUUUGAAUUUCUUUAUCUGUUUUGGAGAAAAACAAUAGAAGGCAUUUCUUUUCAACACACCCUCAUAUUAAAGAAUCUAGAUUUUCCUGAAUCUGAUCACGCCAUCUUUGCUAUCCACCUUGCCUCCAAGGUUUGCGUCAUCUAAAAUUUGUAAGGCCAAUUCCUAACCACACUGUCUCAUUCGUGAUAGAAAUGAUCAUGGUUCUAGUACUGAUCCCUGAGGUAUCCCAUCACUUACAACUGCCCAGUCAGAUUUUCUACCAUUCGGCAUCCUAUCAUGAACUAACAGCUCGGUUUUCAAUAGAGUUAACUAUAUUCUGCAAGCACUGCUCUUAGCUAACAAUAUUAUAUGUGAUUCCUUAUCAAAUGCCUCCUGAAAGUCAAGAUAGAUUACUAAUACUGUACUCCACUUCCCACAUCAACCCAAUGAGAUAUUGCUUCAUAGAACUCCAAAAAAUUUGUUAAACAUGAUCUCCCUUUUAUAAAUCCUUGCUAACUGCUUGUAACCAGUUUGAUUUUUUUUUUUUUAAAUCUAAAUGAUUCCCCAUCUGAUCCCUAAUUAAUGUUUGCAAUAUCUUCUCUACAACUGAAUUUAAACCAACUGGUCUGUUGUUCUCUGAUUCCUGUCUUAAAUAAGUGUUACAUUUUAUACUCUCCAAUCCCCUGGUACCUAUCCUGACUCCAACGAGCUGUUAAAGAUAUCCACAAACAUCACAUCUAUCUGCUCUGCCACCUCCAUCAAUACUCGUGGAUGGAUAUUAUCUAGAGUAUCUAUCAUCCCUUAGUUUUCCUCGCUGUUUCUUUACUUCCUCCAUUCCUAUCUGGAACUCCUCCAAAAACCUUUAUUCAUCUCCAAGAUAGACUCUCUCAAUUACUCGUAAAUCCCCUGACUGUUUUGUGUAAAUGUUAUAACAAAAUAUGUAUUUAAUAAGCCUGCCAUCUCUCAUCUUUCAUCACGAUAACCACUUUCCCUGUGCUAUGCCUCAAUGGACCCACACUUGUUCUAACCCGUUCUUUACCCCUUAUACUGUGUACUUAAAAAAUGCCUUGCUAUUAUGUUUAAUAUUCUUGGCCAUAUUCUUCUCAUAUCCAAUUUUGGCUUGUCCAGAUAUUUUCUUAACUAGCCUCUUUACUCCUGUGCUGAUCCAAAUUUUAAUUUUCUUCUGGUUUAAAGUCCUGCUUUGUGUUCAUUGACUGGCUCAUUCUUGCUUCAUCAUAUUUUCUCAUGCAUCCACAGUGAUGUGAAAGAUGUGGUGAUCUGCCUCAUUUUAGGGCCUGGUAUGAUUACCCCGACAAAGCAUGGUCGACACUGAAGUUUUGCUCAUUCAAUCUUCUGUAUAAC